rnacentral:rRNA from 1 species
AACGAACGCUGGCGGCAGGCCUAACACAUGCAAGUCGAACGCCGUAGCAAUACGGAGUGGCAGACGGGUGAGUAACGCGUGGGAACAUACCCUUUGGUUCGGAAUAACUCAGGGAAACUUGAGCUAAUACCGGAUACGUCCGAGGUUUUAAUCGGCCUUGGAGAAAGAUUUAUCGCCGGAGGAUUGGCCCGCGUCUGAUUAGCUUGUUGGUGAGGUAAUGGCUCACCAAGGCGACGAUCAGUAGCUGGUCUGAGAGGAUGAUCAGCCACAUUGGGACUGAGACACGGCCAAACUCCUACGGGAGGCAGCAGUGGGGAAUAUUGGACAAUGGGCGAAAGCCUGAUCCAGCCAUGCCGCGUGAGUGAAGAAGGCCUUAGGGUGUAAAGCUCUUUCAGCGGGGAAGAUAAUGACGGUACCCGCAGAAGAAGCCCCGGCUAACUUCGUGCCAGCAGCCGCGGUAAU